CUGGGAUUUCGCAUCCCUAGGGUUGCAGAUCUAGAGUCAUCAAGACCCAGACGCAGCCGCCUGCUGCUCCACUUUUUCACGCCUCCAACCACCCCCUCUCCCUGUCUCUCGUGGCCGAGGAAAGGAAUAUGGCCAUGGAGUCGGAUGGGAAAUUUUGCAGAGGUGAUGCCUCCCCCCUCCCCCUCUCUGCGAAAAAAGGAGGUACGGAGGGCGCCCCGACGAAACCCAAUCCUGUCACGCCGUCGUAUUGCGGUAAAUAAUCCUUCCUUUGCAUCUUUUCCGUGUAUAUAUAGAGUAAUUUGUUUUUCCUCUGAUCCUGCAGGUUCUUUAAGCUGGGACGUCACAGAUGCAUACCAACCCAAGAUGACAGGCGCACCUGCACGCUGUCACUGGAUCUGCACCAAUGGAUAGAUUGGUGUUUUUUUUCCUUUCUCUGCAGAAAGCAAUGAUUUGUGUUUCCCAGCUAGCCUGUAGCAAAACAGGUUUUAUCGAAGGAUUAGUAAUUGUAUUUUUCAGCGGAAAAGGAAAAGAGGAAGGCUGUGUCCUCGAAUUUUUGGAUCGAUUGAUGUUCAGAAGGAGGAGACGGUUUUAUUUUCUUCUGCUGCUGGAAAGGAGAUCUUUCAGCGAACAUGAUGACAAGCAGAUCUUUUAGUGGUUGUGGUCUGACGAAAUCAUCUAAAGAAAGGACAUAUGAUGAGAAAAUGCAUUCACAAGUAUUUGAGGGGGGCAUUGGUUCACGUGGCCUUCAAGGGAUAUAUUUGGAUAAAAUUUCCUAGCCCUCCAAAGGCAUAUUCUUUAAAUGGGCCAAAUUUGGGCAGGCCUAGCCUUUCUGAAGCCGAGCCAUUCGGUUGGUCUCUCCAUCGUGUCAUCACUUUCCCUAACGCGACUAUAUCUGGGAGGAGGAGGAGGAGGAGGCGGCGGCGGCAGCGGUUAGGAAGCAAACCCUAGAGCGAUGGUGGCACGAAUCUGGCUGGCCAGCUUCCUGUGCCGGAAGAAGCCCUCCCCCCGAGUGCUGACCGCCGGGUGGUGCCCCCCCCUCGGCUACU